CUUGUUCUUGCAGUGGCUGCAGGACAGGAAGUAUUCUUUGAAAAACAUCAUAGAAUUUCUAGUUGGGAAAACAGAUGGGUCCUACCCUUUCAAGUUCUAUUCAAUCCUUGACAAUUUUUUUUUUUUUAAAUGUGACAACUUCUUUAAUUUUUUGGAAAAACUGGUACAACCGCCUUUGGUGGCUAGAUCAGAAAGCUGUUUCAUAGCACAUUUUCAGUAUUGUUUCAGCUGAAUGUGAGAUUAUAACAAUUUUAAUCUCAACUUCAGAGGUCUGUUUUCUCGUAUUUUGACACAGGCAUAGUGGUAUACUGAUGACCAAGGACUAAUUUCCGACAGGUUCAUUUUGAUGGCUGGGACCACAGAUACUACUGCUGGGUGGAUGCAGAUAGCCCUGACCUUCACCCCAUUGCACGGUGUGAUGUCACAGGUCGUCCCCUGGAAGUACCAUGUCAAACCGAGCCGAGACGUAAUGCACGUGAUGGCUGCACACUUCUGUGGGAAUCCUUGUGCAGUGCGUUUUGGCCAAGACCAUGAUAUUAAUAACCCAUAGUAUUCCAGCACGAAAAUUCUUGAAAAAGGUACUUGUUAUGAUUGCACAGUCCAUAAAAGGGUCGCUGAUCUUGGAGCAAAUGUGGAAUAACUGUUCCAAACACUGAGAGUGACUAACAUAGGCUUGAGAUAAGCAGGCCCUGUAAGUCCCAUGAACCUAAGCAUGAAAGAGCCUUGCUGUUCUUUAAAAUAAAAGUUGGAAUACUUAUUGUAC
rnacentral:lncRNA from 1 species